rnacentral:rRNA from 1 species
GAUCAUGGCUCAGAGUGAACGCUGGCGGCGUAGCUUUAACACAAUGACCAAGUACGAACGAGAACGGAUUAUAGCUUGCUAUAAUUGUCAGCUAAGUGGCGCACGGGUGAGUAAUGUAUAGGUAAUAUGCCUCUUACUAAGGGAUAACAAAUGGAAACGUUUGCUAAUACCUUAUACUCCUUAUUAACAGAAGUUAAUAAGGGAAAGAUUUAUUGGUAAGAGAUUAGCCUGUAUUGUAUCAGUUAGUUGGUGGGGUAAUGGCUUACCAAGACUAUGACACAUAACUGGUUUGAGAGGAUGAUCAGUCACACUGGAACUGAGACACGGUCCAGACUCCUACGGGAGGCAGCAGUGGGGAAUAUUGCACAAUGGACGAAAGUCUGAUGCAGCAACGCCGCGUGGAGGAUGACACAUUUCGGUGCGUAAACUCCUUUUAUAUGAGAAGAUAAUGACGGUAUUAUAUGAAUAAGCACCGGCUAACUCCGUG